rnacentral:rRNA from 1 species
UGCGGGGGGAGCAAGCGUUGUUCGGAUUUACUGGGCGUAAAGGGCGCGUAGGCGGUCAGCACAAGUCAGUUGUGAAAUCUCCGGGCUUAACUCGGAAAGGUCAACUGAUACUGUGCGACUAGAGUGCAGAAGGGGCAACUGGAAUUCUCGGUGUAGCGGUGAAAUGCGUAGAUAUCGAGAGGAACACCUGCGGCGAAGGCGGCGCUCUGGGCCGGAACUGACGCUGAGGAGCGAAAGCGUGGGUAGCAAACAGG